rnacentral:lncRNA from 1 species
CUGGAGUGUUUUGCGUGUACUCGCGUUUCGCUCUUUUUGAGCUUCAAUGCGACCCGUAGCUCCAGAAGUCCACUCCACGAUGGCGAUGGUCCAGCUCAGAGUUUCGUCUAUUUAAGUUCGGUUCUGUUGUCGGUACUGGCCCUUAAGGUAGAAUGUGAGCUAUUUUAAUUUUGUCUUGGGUGCUUUGUGGGACUCGAAAUGUAACCCCAAAAAAUUAAAUAGAUAAUAAAAAGAAAUCAAAGCGUCGCAGUCAGGGCUUGCGGUCCUCGGACACUUUAGGACCGGUUGACAGAUGAGAAGGACCCGGAUGUCUGCUGGAUCGUUCCCUGCAGAGGUCCCACAGGCCUGGAAGGAGGAAGAGGCGCUGGUGGAUCUGCAGGGAUGUUCUGCUCAGGACCAGGAGGAGCCAGAACCUCCACAGAUCAAAGAGGAACGACAGGAGCCCCAGUCUCCUUGGAUCAAAGAGGAACAGGAGGAAAUGUGCACCACCCCAGAGGAUGGCGUGAAGCAGGAGAACGGGGCCUUUCUGCAGCCUCUCUUCACACCCAAACCUGAAGAAUCGUCUGGAGCUUCUGACGGCGACGCUGCACAGACGGAGGAGGAGGCGGAUGUUCAGCGCAGACUCUCUGAAAUCCACUGGAGUCCAACAAAUCUACAUAAGACUGGUAGGGGGCUCCAUUAACUGAAUUUCCCCUCUGCUAUAGGCCAUCUGCUAGAGGUCAAAGGUAGGAAUGAUGUGGUCGGAAUAGAGAAAAGUCCUCAACUGGAGCUUCCCAGUUAUAUUGUGUUAACUUUACAAUAUCAUUUAGAGAUUUAAAGCAUGAUUUCUUUUAUUGCUUCAGUGUCUGUCAAGAAGAAUUCAUUACACUUCAAAUGCAGGACUCUGCAGCACUGAUUUAUUAUUAAAGACCCACUCCAAUCAUCUUAAUAUGACAGUAUUUUAUUGUGGACCUAUGCUUUAAAGCAGUGGCCCCCAAACUUUUUAACGCCACGAACUGGGAUGACGUUACACAAAACUGUCACGGACCGGUCUUAAAAAGUAGGCGGAUGAUUACUGUAGCAUCACUAUGAUGAAGGAGGAUCAGAAACAUGACAAGAUGAGCCCUGAGCUUUUAUUUUGACAUGGAUGUCAUUGUACAUCGCACAGGUGUCAUCAUCCUCUCCCCUUCCCACACUCAUGGUGCCAAAAAGAAGUACUGUCUGUAAAAUGUAGCUUUCUUUUUUCUGGAAGUGGAAGGCUCCUCUUCUGUCUCCUGGCUGGGCCUUUUCCCCUUGGCAAAGAAACUUUCCAAAGACGUUUGUUUUUUACUCAUUUUGCUAGCUCCUGGGUUUGAUUUUAGCGGUAACCUGUCACGAGACGGAGAAGAGCGCCUUGGCCUGCAUCAAGAGUGACAAAGACGGAUGGAACAGAGAACUUUUUUUCAAAAGAAAACAUUUUUCAGAGUCCAAAAUAAAUAAAACAGAAUUAAUUUAAGUUAUUUAUU